AUCAUCAAUCCCGUAAUGAAUACAAAUUUUAUUAGAAAAUAUAUCAUCUCUCCCGCAUGCAACCAAAUAAUUGCUCUCCUUCCUUGUUGGAUUUGAUCCUGCCACCAAAUCUUCCAUAUCCUUCUCUCGUUAGUCAUGAUCUUGCACCAAAUCACAUGAGCCUUAAUCACUUAUUCUCCCCCUAGGGAUUUAGUCUCAUGAACAUCUCCAUCGCCUGCAUAAUCCUCCCGCCGUCGCACUCCUCUCGCCGUUGAUGCCCACAUCCCCUACGAGUGCAUCCUGCCAUCACGUCCCGCGCCGCUCCGCUCCGCCCCUACCACUGUGACAGCACUGGCUUUCCCUGCCACGACGCUACGAGCCCGCUAGAGGUCGCCGAUGUCCUAUGCCACAGCGCAAGGGGCGCUCCCGGACGUUCCUCCUCUUAAUGAGAGGCUCCCGCCCCUGCCACUCUUGCCGCCUUGGUCGCCCAUCAUCGCCAUCGUUGCCUCCCUGACCAGCGAACUCUGAUGAUGUCAAUAUGACCAGCCUAGGGCAUUUAAUCUGUAUCGAGGGAUUAUUACACAAUUCUUCAUUACAAUGCACGUGAUGCAUCUGAUUCAAGCUUAUGUGGCGGGGAUGAUAUUCAGGAAGCACAUCUUGACCAAUGGCUGAGUACGCCCCACUCCUUUCAGGCUCUAGAGUUUAAUUUUAUCAACGAGACUCCGAGGCAUUUAUUUUCUUUUUGCAAGUCAUGCUUUCAUCUACUAGGUAACCAAAUCAGGCUCCAUCUGUUCACGAGCAAGCAGAAAAUUAACGAGACAAAAGAUGCGAGCACUCUUGGUUUGUUGUUUCUUGAGAGUAAUAAUCCCUAUCAUAUCUUGAAGACAGGGGCGGAGCCAACUUACGAAUAAUGGGUGUACAGAGUACACCUGAAGUUACAUUUUUACUCAUAUUUCUUAUAUUUAUUAUUUGAUAUAUAUUACUCUGUAUUUAAGUUAGAUAUAGGUAUACAAGAUGCUGCCAAAAAAUAAUGGGCGUACAUUUGUACACACAUUUACUGAUCUGGCUCCGCCUAUGCUUGAAGAGGUGGCACUCAUGGUGUCACUCGUGCUAUGAUAGUGGUGUCCAUCCAUGGCAAGGUGCGCCUAGGUUGACUGUGAGCAUGACAGUGUCGCUGGUCAUUUGCAUUCUACUGAGGAUGGAGGUGAGACUUAAGUACCCUCUCUGAUUGAUACUUACAACACUUGAGCACACUGGUUGCAUGGUGGAUGCAUUGGGCUUUUUA